rnacentral:sRNA from 1 species
UGAGAUCAGGGAGCACAGCAGUUUUCUCAGCAGACUCCUAACAGAUGAGGGUAAAGACUCAGAUAAUUCAAAGAUUCGUAGCACUGCAUUCAACUUCCCUUGACCGGUUGUAGACUGAAAAAGAAACGUUACAAUUUAUCUUACUUGGGAAUAGAGCUUGAACAAAGAAGAAAUUGUCUUCAAGCAGGAGCUUCCUAUCAAAAGAAGAUGUGAAUCCAGGGGCAGAGACUUGGGUCAACUGUGUUUGGAUAUAAUCCUGAAGAUGGACGUGCUGACCAUAUUCUGCCUUUGCAUGUACUGAAAAGUGCAGCUACCAGGUGAAUGGGGACUUGCUUGUCUUGUGCCUUGUGGACAGCUUGUUAAGACAGAAAGGUGUCCAAACCAAGUAAAAUCAGAACACCUUACAAGA